rnacentral:rRNA from 1 species
GACGAACGCUGGCGGCGUGCUUAACACAUGCAAGUCGAACGGAAAGGCCCAGCUUGCUGGGUGCUCGAGUGGCGAACGGGUGAGUAACACGUGGGUGAUCUGCCUCUAACUUCGGGAUAAGCUUGGGAAACUGGGUCUAAUACCGGAUAGGACAAUCGUUUAGUGUCGGUUGUGGAAAGUUUUUUCGGUUAGGGAUGAGCCCGCGGCCUAUCAGCUUGUUGGUGGGGUAAUGGCCUACCAAGGCGUCGACGGGUAGCCGGCCUGAGAGGGUGGACGGCCACCUGGGACUGGGGAACGCCGCACCACCCCGACGGGGGGCAGAGGUGGGGAAGAUGCAGAAUGGGGCGCAACCUGGGGAGGAGAACGCCGGGUGGGGGAAAUCGGCCUUCGGGGGGGAAACUCCUUCUGACAGGGCGGAGUUAUGGGGAGAGGGACUGGUAAAAGAGACCCCGGCAAACCGCGG